CCUACGGGAGGCAGCAGUGGGGAAUUUUGGACAAUGGGCGCAAGCCUGAUCCAGCCAUGCCGCGUGUGGGAAGAAGGCCUUCGGGUUGUAAACCACUUUUGUCAGGGAAGAAACGGUUCGUACUAAUAUUAUGAACUAAUGACGGUACCUGAAGAAUAAGCACCGGCUAACUACGUGCCAGCAGCCGCGGUAAUACGUAGGGUGCGAGCGUUAAUCGGAAUUACUGGGCGUAAAGCGUGCGCAGGCGGCUUUGCAAGACAGAUGUGAAAUCCCCGGGCUCAACCUGGGAACUGCAUUUGUGACUGCAUGGCUAGAGUACGGUAGAGGGGGAUGGAAUUCCGCGUGUAGCAGUGAAAUGCGUAGAUAUGCGGAGGAACACCGAUGGCGAAGGCAAUCCCCUGGACCUGUACUGACGCUCAUGCACGAAAGCGUGGGGAGCAAACAGGAUUAGAUACCCUGGUAGUCCACGCCCUAAACGAUGUCAACUGGUUGUUGGACGGCUUGCUGUUCAGUAACGAAGCUAACGCGUGAAGUUGACCGCCUGGGGAGUAACGGCCGCAAGGUUGAAACUUAAAGGAAAUUGACGGCUUGAGGAGNGCGAGACGACGACGAGGGAGAGG
rnacentral:rRNA from 1 species